rnacentral:rRNA from 1 species
UACGUAGGGUGCGAGCGUUAAUCGGAAUUACUGGGCGUAAAGCGUGCGCAGGCGGUUCGUUGUGUCGGCGGUGAAAGCCCCGGGCUUAACCUGGGAAUGGCCGUUGAAACUGGCGAUCUGGAGUGUGGCAGAGGGGGGUGGAAUUCCGCGUGUAGCAGUGAAAUGCGUAGAGAUGCGGAGGAACACCGAUGGCGAAGGCAGCCCCCUGGGCUAACACUGACGCUCAGGCACGAAAGCGUGGGGAGCAAACAGG